rnacentral:lncRNA from 1 species
CGCGUGCCACAGGUCGCGGCUCUGAGGGGCUCAGGGAGCUCCCGGCACGGCAGCGGACACAUCCAGUGCAAUCUCCUGCGUGUAAUUCUAGAUGAAGGUUCAUUCAACCCCCCCAGUUUCUGUAGUUUUAAAAGCUGUUUUAACCUUUUCCCUACGCCCUUGACACGGUAGCGGGGAGCAGCGCCCCGUGUGCCAUUCCCUGUUGGUCGGUUGCCCCGAGGCCCCCCUGCGCCGCUGCUCGCGGCGAUCCGCUCGGGCCGGGGCACGGGGGACAGAUGCCGGCGGCAGGGAGCGGAACGGGCGGGUUCCGGGCCGGCGCGCGGGCCCCCAGGGGCUGAUGUGCCGCCGCAGCUGGGCCGCGCGAGAGGCCGGAUCGCUGGAUGGGGGCAAUAAGGAGCUGGGCGGUAAUUGCCUGUUUGACGUUUCCGAGAUGCGAAGCGCGGCUGAACGGCAAGCCUGGAGUGCCCUUCAGGAGGUCAUCCUCCCAGGCUAG